UGUGACUGAGCAAGCUGCAAAGGAAGCCAGAGAGGAACUUGGGCUCUGUGAAGUCCUGGCAUCUGAUCAGUGCCUGAGCUGAAGCAGGCUGCAUUACCCAGCCUGGCUCCCCUGCACAAGGAAGGCUGCAGAAGACACAUCAAGCUGGCAUCCACAAGCCAGCAGAGCAGCACAGAGGAUUCUUCUUGCCUUUCUCUGCAAAAUGAGAACUCAUCCCUCCUUCUGGACCAGUUGGAAAAGUUACCAAAGCAAACUCCCUGCUUUUGCAGAAUACUGCUCUGACAAAGUAGACCUUGGGAAUCAGCCAUCACGGACAGCACCAGCUGGGAUCGGUCCUCUUUCCAUCACUGAUAUUAUAUAAACAUGUUGCUACAGAUUUACGUACAGCACAAGAGAACUAAACUUUCAAGAAGGCUGAGCUGCAGGCUCAACAAAGAAAACAGUGAUAGCAGAGGGUAGGUAACAAGGUGCUGAAUACAGGAGAAGCGAAAUAUUUAGAGAACUGGUGCGUGGGUUGCUGCCCUGCUGCCUGGUGAGCCCAUGGAAAGACUGGGUAUGCUUCUGCAUCUGGGAGCAGCUCCUUGCGUCAGAGCAACAUAGUGAGAAUGACCUCCAUGUCAGGUAGGCAGGUAGAGGGGGGCACACGCCAGCUGUGCUGACAUUCCUCACACUGCUUCAGCUGGGAGGUUAUUUCAGAACACCUGACAUUAUCAGAGAGCUCCUACCAGGCUUUCGGAUGAGGGUGGGUGCAACCAAGCCAACCCAGGGGAUUUUUGCUAUUGCUUAAAUUGACAGCAUAAAAUGGUGAAAAAGUUCAAGAAAGAGCGGAACACCCGUAACAAAAACAUUACAUUGGACAGAUGAUAAAGAAUUUUUAUUAUAGCUAACAGUGAACAGGAACCAAUCUCUGCACUGAAGCAGAAAAAGCAGUGAGCAAACAUGGGAACAGUGACUGACUGCAGACAUGCUGAAAUCAUUAAAAGCCAUGACAAGAAAAGUAUAGGCACCUUAUGCAAGAUUUAUGAAAGCUGCCUGAAGAAGGCUAUGCAAACUCUGCCAGAGAGAAUUAAGCAAGAAUUACCUAAAAACGUAUGUAAACAAGGUAUAGUGGAAGAGAAAGAGGCAACAGGAACACUGUGGGAAGUAACCUAGACAUCGGGUCAGAAACCACAGCAUCAGCACUUUGCCCUACAGCAGCGAUCAUGAGGAAAGGACAUUGAAGAACAAGUGCACGCCUCCUCCAGUAAAUCAAGUUUUCUGCUCAUGUACGUCACAGAAUGCUGCAGCUAAGAGGCUCUCAUGUAUUUUUCACCCUGAUGUGCUGUCUGUGCUUUAGCUGUCUGUGCUUUAGCUGUGCCUAGCUUUAGCCAGGAACAGAAAGGUGGAAUAAAAUGUGGCAUACCUGUGCCAAAGGAACAACCUGAAAGACUGAGAAAUAGGGUUCAGCAAACUACAAGUGCUCAAGAGCACAGGCACCUGAGCCUCUUUUCAAACCCCCAGUUUCAGAAACCUUAUUAAUGCAUUAGCCAGAGAGAACUCAUAAGGUGAAAGACACGUGUUACAUUUUUCUUCUAAUAUAUGCUCUGAUCAAAAACUGAGAUGAAAUUUCUCUGCUUUAAUUGGCAGCAC
ensembl:lncRNA